UUAUGCUACAUUUGAAAAUCAAGAUAUUUCAGCCAGAAGUCUAAAUUUCUGACUUCUCCUGAAAAAUUAAAAAGAUCUGGCAAGUCUAGGUACACAUUUCUAAAUAGCAACAUUGAGCAGGGAUGAAGCAGCUACUUCCCUGUUGAGAUUAGUCCCGAACUUUUUCUAGCUGACCACAGUCCUCAUCACUCCAUGUUGUCCUGCCCACUGCCCGCUCCACCAGUCAACAUUGCCUGCCUGGCUCUUGGACAGAACAGAGUUUGCAAUGCUGAAUCUAAGCUAAGAGGAAUUUUGGAUGAUAGAAACUCAUCCUUUAACUUUGGGGGUUAAUGUUAUACAUGGUGACCAUGGUCAAGUUUAGCCUGCUAGACUUGAGUAAGUCACAGAUAGAAAAGAAUGUCACAACCCUAAAGACAAAUGGUCAGAUUUGAAGGUCAAACCAAGGACCGAACAAGAGAGGAUGCAAAGUCAACAGACACAGGAUCCAAGAGGAGGAAUGGAGGCGUUAUGAGGUACAGAUUUCUUUGAUUAGUUCAGGAAUUAUUUGGAGAACCAAAUUAUGUGCUGGGCUCUCUUCCUUGCUGUGCAUUCCAAGAUCCAGAGAUGGGUAUUACUGCUUUUAAAGGAGUUAUGCCAAGUUCAACACUACAUAAAGCCUUCCCUCCCUCCCCAUUCACUUGUCAGUUUUGAAAUGUGAGAAUGCGAGUACAGCAGGUUAAAUUAAAAGUGUAGUCACUGGGGCAAGAUAUUAAUGCUCUUAAAAUUAAAACUAAAAUUAAAAUCUAAAGCAAGAUUUCUUACACUCACCUAUAUCUAUAUGUUGACUACUUUGCAGAUAUGCUGGAAUGCUUCAUACUCAACGUAAGAAAAUUAAAUGCCUUCGGUUUUCUUCUGAGAGCUGCUCUGCUGUACUGGAAGACAUUGGAAGUGGCUGGCCAACCCAAUGCCAAGGUCCUGGGUGGGGUUGUGAGAUGGAGGAAUUCAUAAAUAACUAUAUUGCGUUUUUCAGAAAUUCAUUGCAGCAGACUGUGUUUGUACCUGAGCAAAUGUGCCAUUUACACAGAACGCAAAAUAUUUUUAAUCGAGUAGAAAGAAUUUUCUAAAUGUGACAAGGCCUCUGUGUUUCAGUAAUAUAGAUCACAAUGCCACGGUGGGGCAGUUCUUCUCUCUGGCCACUAGCAUGCCACUUUCUGCUCUGAGAGGGAAUUGGCUAGGUGGGGCCUUUAGCUUGUAAUACCUCCUUCCAAUUGUGAAUUUAUUCUUUCCCUCCUUGCUGGCAAUUUUUUACUUUUCCAGCUUGGCACAUAGAAUCUUGCAAGUCUCCCUGGAAGGUGACUCAUAUUUAAAUGUGAAUGGGGCAGCUGGCUUCUGUUAUCUUAAAGGGUUACAUUAUGUCAUUGCACGUUUUCAGCUGGGGUAAAAACAAACUGUGCUCUUUCCACACAUCAAUUCCAGUAAUAUAUAUUUCUAUGAGAUCACAGGGACUUAUAAAGUGACUGAAAUUUUUCCAGCUUUAAAAAUUAAGACCAACGUACUGUUUCUUAAUAAUUCAGCAACAGCAACAAAAAAUCCCUCAUUUCCUGUCAUGUUGUUUGAGAAUUAUUUCUAAAAGAAUUAUAAUGAUAAUGAUGAUGAUGAUGGUGAUGAUGAUGCUAGUGACAACAAUAAUGAUGAUAAUAAACAUUAAUGGGCUUUGGCCAUUUACCACACACCAGACAUGGUACCAAGAUCUCUACCUGUAGUCUUCACCUCAACCUAAAGAAAGAGAUAUUCUUAAGACUUAAAGGGUAUAAGGUCAAAGGUUCAUAAAUGGCAAUGGCAAGGUUUGAAAGCAGCCAGUUUUAACUCCAAAGCCUGUAUCAUUAAUCAUUGUGAUAUGCAUUUAUGUACAUAUCCACAUAUCUUGCCAGUAAGUAAUUUUCUAAGAUUUUAGUAAGCAAAUGAAUUGUUCCUCAUGACAUAUUUCCUCUGGGUAGCCUUUCCUGGCCACCCAGGAAAAGGCUGGUGAGAAUGCUAGGUGAGAUGUACUGAAGUUUCCUAAGCAUCAUAUGCACAGACCUCUAUUAAGACAGGCAGCAAACUCCAUGGUGACUACUUGUCCCGACAAUGUACUAAGAGCUCCUUGAGGACACAAAUUUAAUCACCUCUAACAGUACCCACUACCUGGUAGGUAUGCAGUAAAUGUUUGAUCAAAGAAUAAAUAUAUGAA
rnacentral:lncRNA from 10 species